CAAUUUGCCUGGUAGGGGACAUACCGUGAUCAAGAAUGUGGCUUUCUCAGGAAGAGUUUCCUCCAUUGCACUACAGAUGUUCUGACCUCUGAUCUCCCCAAAUUUGAGAAACUGGACUGCGGAAUUAGUGGUUGUGGGAGACUUGGUGUUUUUCUCCAU
rnacentral:snRNA from 1 species